UCUAAAAAAAUCAGUAACUGGUCCCAAAUCGCAAUUCAUUAUUUGGGCCUUGAGCGCCAAAGAGGAGCGGCAAAUGAAAUAGAGUACCAAAACAUUGAGAACUUAAAAACCUUUUUUCCUUGAAAACAUAGUUGCCAAAUGAAAUAUAAUAAAACUAAAACAUUCUAAAAAUUAAAAACACUUAUUUGUUUUAUGGAAACACCAGCAGGUCUACCAAUCUCUAAGCCCUAAUCUCCAGUAACCAAGGUUGUCGCAUGUUUAUACCCAGAUAUGCUCGAGUGCUUUGGCCAUUUUCCUUACAACUUGGGUGCUUUCUCUUGGGGCAUGUACUAAGUUGGCGUAGGAAAUAGGAAGCGUAGCUAAUGUAACAAUUUACAGCGUGUAAUGUUGAGCUCCGCACUUGAUAAAAGAUUGGUCCUGGAUUUUUAAAUGAUGAAGAUAUUUUUCCUCGCUGGCCAUCAGGGACAAAGUGGUAAGAUCAUGAUCCGCAGGGGAACAGAUCACUCAUUCUUCCAUUGGGACAGGUACACGAACGAUUUGAAUUUUUUAUCUUUUGGUUAGUUUAGUAUGUUAAGGUCAUGCAGCUCUUAGGAUAAUCUAUGAUAUUUUCCCUGCCAGUUAUUGCAGAAUAUGUAUUACACUAUUGGUAUUUGUUUGCUUUUUGAAGGUACAACAACCUUCUCCCACUUUGCUGUUUUUGGAAGAGCAAAGCUCUCACUAUCAAGUUGGGGAUUAAGCUGGUACUCAUAGCAAUGAUUAAUUAAGCAUGCUGAGUGAUGUGCUUGAAAAUGCAAAUACUUCCUAAGUAUAUUUUUUAUUACAUAAUUGUAGUGUUUAUAGUAUUCAAGUACGAUUGAGCUAAAUAGUGCUAGGGACGUAGAAUGUAGUUGUGUUAUCUUUUGUGCUUAUCAUACAUAAAAAUGGCAUAUUAUGCAUCCAUGCCCUUAAUAUGCAUAUAUCUACGUAGUAGUGUUUGGGUAAUGGUUAUCUAA